GACGAACGCUGGCGGCGUGCCUAAUACAUGCAAGUGGGACGCAAGGGAACACACUGUGCUUGCACACCGUGUUUUCUUGAGUCGCGAACGCGUGAGUAACGCGUAGGUAACCUGCCUAUUAGCGGGGGAUAACUAUUGGAAACGAUAGCUAAUACCGCAUAAUAUUAAUUAUUGCAUGAUAAUUGAUUGAAAGAUGCAAGCGCAUCACUAGUAGAUGGACCUGCGUUGUAUUAGCUAGUUGGUAAGGUAAGAGCUUACCAAGGCGACGAUACAUAGCCGACCUGAGAGGGUGAUCGGCCACACUGGGACUGAGACACGGCCCAGACCUCUACGGGAGGCAGCAGUAGGGAAUCUUCGGCAAUGGACGAAAGUCUGACCGAGCAACGCCGCGUGAGUGAAGAAGGUUUUCGGAUCGUAAAGCUCUGUUGUAAGUCAAGAACGUGUGUGAGAGUGGAAA
rnacentral:rRNA from 1 species